UACGGAGGGUGCAAACGUUGCUCGGAAUCAUUGGGCGUAAAGCGCACGUAGGCGGUCUGGUAAGUCGGAUGUGAAAUCCCUCGGCUCAACCGAGGAAGUGCAUUCGAAACUGCCAGACUUGAAUAUGGAAGAGGGUCGCGGAAUUCCCGGUGUAGAGGUGAAAUUCGUAGAUAUCGGGAGGAACACCAGUGGCGAAGGCGGCGACCUGGGCCAAUAUUGACGCUGAGGUGCGAAAGCGUGGGGAGCAAACAGG
rnacentral:rRNA from 1 species